rnacentral:rRNA from 1 species
AAUGAACGUUGGCGGCGUGGAUUAGGCAUGCAAGUCGUGCGGAAAGGCUCCUUCGGGAGUACUCGAGCGGCGUAAGGGAGAGUAACGCGUGGAUAUCUACCCCCUGGACUGGGAUAGCGGCGGGAAACCGCCGGUAAUACCAGAUAAUGUCUGCGGACCAAAGGUGUGAUUCCGCCGGGGGAUGAGUUCGCGUCCUAUUAGCUAGUUGGUAGGGUAAUGGCCUACCAAGGCAAAGGUGGGUACCGGGUGGGCGAGCAUGGCCCGGCGCACUGGGACUGGGACACUGCCCAGACACCGACGGGUGGCUGCAGUCGAGAAUCUUCGGCAAUGGGCGCAAGCCUGACCGAGCGACGCCGCGUGCGGGAUGAAGGCCUUCGGGUUGUAAACCGCUGUCAGAGGGGAGGAAAUGCGUGAGAGUUCUCUCUCACGUUUGACCUAUCCUCAGAGGAAGUACGGGCUAAGUUCGUGCCAGCCGCCGCCGUAAUAC